UUAAGAGAUUUCAUCAUUGACUUCCUGAAAAAUGGUUAAUAAAAAGAAAUUACCGGUUCAACGUUGGCCACUUGAUCCGAGUUCCAAUGGUCUGUUCGUUGUUUGCCCGAUGAUACGAUUUAAUAAGUGCCAAUUUCUUCGGUGUGAUCUAUAGUUGUGAAUAUCUAUAUAAGUUUAAACUCAAGUGAAGUAUAGAAAAAUAACUUACCUAUCGGAAAGAUAAGGGAAUAUCCUUCCUAUCGUUCAAUAAGACGCCAUCUUUUCGUGGUGUAGCCAUUUUGAAUAACAAUCUGAAUUUUUUUUUUUAUUCUCGUUUAUUUUCCGUCGGUCUAGUUCCGCCACUGUUGUGGCCAAUCACCGACGCCCAGGGAGGCGACUCCACACCCAGGACCCUAACUCACGACCCGUUUAUUAACGGACCGGCGCCAACGGCUUUACUUCCUAAUGCGAUGGAAGGCGUGAUCCCAGAGAUUUUUCGCCUCAGAAAAUCUCCCGGAGUCGGCUAGGAUUGAAUCUAGACCAGUUGGGUUGGUUGUGAGUGGAUCACGCCACCUCACAACCAUCGACACCUAUGUCGGCGGUGGGAUUCGAACCCAGGCGUCGAGCGUGGUUGACGGAGACGUUACCAACCACACUAGGCCCCCGCUCUAACAAUCUGGAUUAUUCGAUACCAAAUCCAAACGUCAAAACAAAACUUAACAAGUAUACUAACAAGAAGCCUUAGGUCACGGCGACGUGUGUUUUUUAUUGGAUUUAUCGAUAAGAUUUAUAUUGCUCAUUUCAUUGAAGCUUGGGCUUUCGAUACACUUCUAGGAUCACACUUUUUAUGAGUAAGAAUGGUUGCCAGGAUUUGACGGUAUAAAAAAUGUUACUUGACUAUCAAUGAUUUAUUUUUCAAUAAUUCGAUUGUAUACUUUCAUGCUCACAGAUGUUAAUGAUCAACACAAGUAUUGAUAUAGACAAUAUUAUAACUUAAUAAGUAGCCAAAGCUCGCCUUAAUUUACAAAUGCGGGCAGUUUGAGGUUAAAAUAUAACACUUGAAAAAUUACAUUGUAAUGUACCGCUCCUCUGGCACCACUGCCAACUGCAAUGUCGAGCCCAGCGCUAGCUCAUCCGAUCGAUAGAUAAAAACUUACAAAAACAGAACGAAAUGCAAACACUCUCGGUUCAGUGCGCGAUAGAUUCCAUUUCUGCUGCAUUUCAACCACUCUAUUACGCUUUUGAUUAUUCAGUGUGCGAAGUAAACGGUGCCCCCUACGUUUCAGCAAUCGAUUCCAGAUAAACAGCACCAUGGGAGACAGUGAAAAAAAUGACUCGGCGGACGAUUCUAGAUGUAAGUUGAAGAGGAAAUGGAAAAGACGCGACUCGGUUACAGAGAUUAAAACGGAAAACUCACAAGACAUCGGUUACGACCCAGAUCUAGAUUCCGACAGUUUUUUCAUCGAAGCCCUAGAUGAAGAGAUCGGAGAUGCGGAAGAUCUUUUGUGCAAAUCUUUAGGCGUGGAUGACCGAGCCGAUGAUUAAUUGAAUGGAAGCAAUAGGGGUGAAUGCAGUAAGGAAUGGAAUCUGCUGCGUGCCACUUUUUUCAAGCGCAAGUUCGUUGGAGAAACUUCCGGAGGACAGUUUGCGUCAGAAGUGUUGCAUGGUAAUAUCUUGCGAGAAAUUUUGCAAGAAAUAUGGAAAGUUAUUAAACCUGUUAUCCGUCAGGAGGUCGUUUUUGAAGAAGAGAAUGGCCAUCUAGUUCCAACUUGGUCAAACACCGAACCGACAUUCGAAGACCUGGGGAAAUUUGUGUACCUUCAAAAUCAAGCGAACCGAAGACGUAUCGAUAUUGACAAAGUGGGCAGCAAGCAGCUAAUCAGCUGGUGUUCUAAGGACAAGGACAUUCGUGUGCAUGUUCACAUCUACUCGACAGCAGUUUCGUCUAAACAGCUGUGGGAGUUAGUUGAAAAGCAGUUGAUACGGCACCAGGACUGUGAUAUUGCAGGAGCCCCUAACAAUCAAUCCUUAACAGCUCUGGCGAAUCAGCUGCGGGACGUACAUGGUACGCACUUAACCGGACAUGCAAGUUCCUGGAAAAUCUAAGCUAACUACAUACAUUCUACUCCUGCACAUGAACGUGAACGUCGGAAAAAUGAAUUGCCCACUCAAUCAAUCAUCAAGUUUUUUCGCUCUGUCCCCAUUUCGGAAGCGAUUCAACUCGAAAGCACUCGGAUUGGCCUGACGGUUGCCUAAACGAUCAAUCAAGGAUAUUCAUCGGACUUCGCGAUUCUGGAAGAUGAGGUGAACGAAAUAAUAGCCUUGGGAGAACGCAUUAAGCACAGGCUUGGAGCGAUUCGAGCCAGGUGUUCCAUAAACUCCGGCAUUGUCACCGCAAUUCAGGAUUCUGUGCGGCCAGCAGAGGACAACAUAAGUCGGUUUCUAGCAGAGAAUGUGGCGGAUAUGAAUGAUGUAGAUCAUUUGUGAAGCUUUAAGACUGAUUUUAUUUCCAGUGAAAGAACCGCUGCUUUUCUUAUUGUAGUCAAUAUUUAUUUAUUAAAUCAAGGAGAAAAUUUAGAAUAUUAAAUUGGUGGAUAGACGUUA